ACCUGCAACCUCGAUGGAGGGGUUGGGGCCGCCAAUCGGCGAUCCCGACCCCUCCACUGAGGUCGCCAGC
rnacentral:pre_miRNA from 1 species